GAAUAUUGGACAAUGGGCGCAAGCCUGAUCCAGCCAUGCCGCGUGAGUGAUGAAGGCCCUAGGGUUGUAAAGCUCUUUUGUGCGGGAAGAUAAUGACUGUACCGCAAGAAUAAGCCCCGGCUAACUUCGUGCCAGCAGCCGCGGUAAUACGAAGGGGGCUAGCGUUGCUCGGAAUCACUGGGCGGAAAGGGUGCGUAGGCGGGUCUUUAAGUUAGGGGUGAAAUCCUGGAGCUCAACUCCAGAACUGCCUUUGAUACUGAAGAUCUUGAGUUCGGGAGAGGUGAGUGGAACUGCGAGUGUAGAGGUGAAUUUCGUAGAUAUUCGCAAGAACACCCGUGCCGAAGGCGGCUAACUGGCCCGAUACUGACGCUGAGGCACGAAAGCGUGGGGAGCAAACA
rnacentral:rRNA from 1 species